AAAUUAAAAACAAACAAGGCAAGAACAUGGGUUGAUUUAGAUAUGGCGCGAAAGGGGAGGGACUUGCGUCGAAAAUAGCCCAUCCGUGACAAGACAAGCGGAUCUUGAGCGUGUGCGGGUCAGGUCAUCGGGCUGCAGCUUUGGACGCAGUCGUUUUGAGGCCAUUAAUUCGGCCUAAAACGGUGACGUUUGGAGGGCCCCUUUAUGGCCACCGAAAGAAACCCUAAGAGGGUCUGCAGCCAUUUUCAAAUAGCAAGAAAGAAAAAACUAGGGUGCCUUCGCCCUUCGUCGUUUAAUCAGCCUUUCGAAGGCCUGUUCUCUUGCCUAUCCUUUCGACUCACUCAAGAGUCAAUCCAGGCUUCAUCGAACUGAAAGAUUCGCAUGUCUUGCUCACGAACCCCGAAUCACCGCUUGGUUUCAAUCGUAGCGAAGCAAGCGAGGAUUCGAAGACAUCAAACGCAGGUACAGAGUCCACUGGCAUCGUACGGAGGUGCGGGCAUGGCGUACGAGGGCCGUGUGCUGGUGCUCGGGUACUGGGUGUGGCGUGGCUGUUGGAGGCAUGGAGGUUGGGAUCGGCUGCAGCGCUAGAAAAAAAAGAACCCUAGGGUUCUGUCUGUUCUAAAAGCAGUGGGCCUAUCGAGCCUUGUAAGUUUGGGUCCGGUUUUAAAUGGAUUGUUUGGGCUUGAUUUUUUGUAAUGGGCUGUAAUGGACAGUGGAUUUUUUUAUUAUUAUUUAUUAUUGUUUUAA